rnacentral:rRNA from 1 species
AUUGAACGCUGGCGGCGGGCCUAACACAUGCAAGUCGAGCGGAUGAAGGGAGCUUGCUCCUGGAUUCAGCGGCGGACGGGUGAGUAAUGCCUAGGAAUCUGCCUGGUAGUGGGGGAUAACGUCCGGAAACGGGCGCUAAUACCGCAUACGUCCUGAGGGAGAAAGUGGGGGAUCUUCGGACCUCACGCUAUCAGAUGAGCCUAGGUCGGAUUAGCUAGUUGGUGGGGUAAAGGCCUACCAAGGCGACGAUCCGUAACUGGUCUGAGAGGAUGAUCAGUCACACUGGAACUGAGACACGGUCCAGACUCCUACGGGAGGCAGCAGUGGGGAAUAUUGGACAAUGGGCGAAAGCCUGAUCCAGCCAUGCCGCGUGCGUGAAGAAGGUCUUCGGAUUGUAAAGCACUUUAAGUUGGGAGGAAGGGCAGUAAGUUAAUACCUUGCUGUUUUGACGUUACCAACAGAAUAAGCACCGGCUAACUUCGUG